UAGAGGCCCUUGGCCGGCGCCUCCCUGCGGCGCCGAGGUCUCCGCAACGGCGGGCCGCGCCAGGCUCCCACAGUCCGCUCUCCUAAAGCCUCGGCGAGAGCCGAGCGGCCGCCGAGCGUGUUCACAAAGGGUCACCACACACGGAGCUGCCCCUCCCCAUCUCCCCAAACCCCACCUGCGAGGCCAGGGGCUUUCCCAUCAGGAUUCUGGGUGUUUCUCCUCCUUUCCUCCCUCCCAGAUCUUCUCACGAAAUACCCCAAUGUUUAUCUCCAAAGAUAGAAGAGGAAGAUUAAAACAAUAAUUUGCAGAAAAGCCCUGCCUUUCCAGAGAUCUGAAGUGUAAUGCCACCAUCUGUUGCUGAGGAGCUCGAAUCGUGGCUGCCUUAGCCCCCCUGCGCGGGCAGAAACCCCGGUUUUCGGGACCCGUGAUCCCGUCGUGUCGCUCUCCCUCUCGAAG